rnacentral:lncRNA from 10 species
AAGCUACACCACAACAGCCCAGUAUAACCCAUCAAAGCCAGGCUGAUGCUCAGGGCUUCAACAGAAUUGGGCAGAACAGCCACGAACCCCCUCCUAAAACUACGAUCUGGACCUCAGCAGACACCAUCAGGGUGGGUGGCCACGAACUGCAUCUGGACAGGGGUCUUCCCACGCCCCUCUCCCCCGGCUAUCCUGGGCUGAGAGCUUUUCCGCCUGCUCUGUCCCUGUUCCUGCCCAGCCGAACAGAUGAUGACAGAGAACACUCUCUCCACCAGGCCUGACCAAAGGUCUGGCUAGGCUGAUGGUUACGAAAGAGAGGGAGAAAGAGAAGAGACUUAGGGGACCCCUCCCCCGCAAGCAAUCCUCCACGGGGAAGGCUGGCCGUGGGAAGCUGUCCCUACCCAGUGCAGACUCGAGUCUGGCUUGAGAGCCCUGGCCCACCUCUGGACAGGGUCCUGAUCCAAGGCUGGCGCUUCAUCUCAGGGCAGGGGCAAGGUGGGGGGACCCUGCCUGUCUGCCUGGAAGACACCCACAUGGCUUCCUUCGAUUCGUCCUGCAGAUCUCCCUGGCAUCACUUUCUGAGACACCGUACUCAACCCCCUCCAACAGGGAAAGCCCCCGCGCUAUGUCCUGACUCCCCCAGCUGCGCCUGGCUCCCCCACCUGUGCCUGGCUCCUCCAGAGACACCUGUUCCAGCCCAGUGUGCGGUGUGCUCAUUGUGCCAUCUCCUUGGGUGGAGUGAUGGCUCCAUGAGGGCAGGCAGGUUGUCUACUCUGUUCACUGUUUAAAGCAGGGCCCUGCCCGAAGGAGGUGCGCAAUACCUUCCGGGCAAAUAAAUGAAUGAAUGGAUGAACUAAAGGAAUUGGGAGGGGGAGUAGGAAGAGCACACUUAAAGCUCAGGCAGGUGCCGGGCGUGGUGGCUCACGCCUGUAAUCCCAGCAUUUUGGGAGGCUGAG